rnacentral:lncRNA from 1 species
AAGCAUUCUCUUGCAUUCCACCCGGGGAACAAGACAGCACCGGGUUUCACACUGGCAAGGCAGGAGGCUGUGUGCUGCCAGAACGACCAGCAGGGGGCGCAAAGGCCACGCCAGGCACCUGCUGGCCUCAGAGAAAACAGAAAGGGAACCAGGAAGCCCACUCCUGCUGUCCUUUCUCUGCAAGGAAAUGUGCCAGGGCACUGCAGCCCAGACAGUCGGCAGUAGAGGACCCAUGAAGUAUCUUUGUGCAAAGAAAGCAGCAAAGAGAAUUAAGAGAAUUGCAUCAUAUAAAGAGUGAAUUAAACCAUCUAAAGGAGCAAAAAUUCAUCAUCACAUGGACAAGAAAUUAAGACCUGGAAACCUAGGAGCAGAAGCCCAGCAUAAAGAUCUCUGAAAGCCUGGAUGCGUGGAUUCCUCUCUUACUUCCCAAAACGGUGGGGUGGAAAUGUGAAUAUCAGCAUGAUGCACAGAUCUCUGCAGAUGUCCAGCGAACUGAAUUUCUAGACGCUAUAAUCUAUGUUCUUUCCCAACCCCCACUUCAGUUUACAUAUCGCAGGCCAUAGAUCCUGUUUGUUGAAAAGCGAUCAGCUAGAAAACAAGAGUGGUUAUAACCUGUGCUGCCCAGUGAUCAGGAAAAGAGAGCGGAUGAAACUUCCAUGACUUUCUGUUAGUCUGAUUAAUAUCCAUGCCAAAUGUAAGAUUAGUUAAAAGGCCUUAUUGCUUCCCACCAAAAUGUUCCUUCACUAGCUAUAUACUACACUGAAAUGUAAAGUUAUGGGUAUGUUUAACAGUUUAAUUUGUCAGUGGGCAUCCAACUCUUCUAUUUGUGUUUUUACUUUGAGCUUAAUUGGAGCAGACAAAUAGAGGUGACCUCUAACUGUUUUCUUCCUGAAGCCAUUUUCAGGGCAGAAGUGCUUUACCCACUUCAUUGAGAAACCACCUUUGCAUGCAGUACCCUGAGCUGUCUUCAGCACACCAAGCAUCCACAACAUGGGAAAUACCGUGCUUUAAAUGUUGCUUUAAUCACAGUGCUCAUGAGUAAGGGCAUGUCCUGUCUCUUAUCCAUGAAAACACUCCCACAAAAUGAAGUCACACCCAGUAUCUGUUAACGGAGAUACUGAGUGGGUGAAGAAGACUCAUUCCCUAAUGCAAUUCAGGUCACACAGGGUAAAAAAGAAAAAAAAAUCCUUUUCUGUUGAGGAUACAGAUGGAGAGAAAAUGGAAAAUGCCUUUCAGGAAGCACAAGCCUAGUUUUCUAAUUGUGUUUCAGUGAACACGCAGGUGAACUUACCUGUGUGGCUUGGUAUUGUGGUGGGUUUUCAGCUUCUUCUCCACCAAAUCCUUUGAAAAGCAGCAGUGGCAGAAACAAAUAACCCAAUUAAAAACAAUAAUAGCAACAAUAAAAAAAGAAAAGAUGAAGAA